UCUUUUAGCCUCUGGAGGAAACUACUCAGAGGAUGUUCAGUCAUUUGACCAGCCUAAUAAUGGUAAGUGAACCACUUCACGUAACCUCAGGGUGGACAGAUUUUAAAUGUGCUUUGUCUGAGUUAUAGCAAUCAUAGUUUAUGUUUUGUGUUCUCUCAUUUUAGGCUUUUGUGGAAACAUCUUGGCAGAGCUAGAGUCAACAGACCUCUGUAAUGAUGGUAUGCCAAUGUAUAACUCAAGCCCCUACCACAUUGUGCCAUCAGAGCAAGCAAGGAAUGACAUCAGUCCCAGCUAUGCAAAUGGCUCCACAUCAGCUGAGUUCAGAUCCCCUGGCCCGGGUUCAGCUCCAGAUACACCACGGGGAAGAUUCCAUGGAAGGGAGCCCAGCCAAAUGUUGCAAGGCAAGUAUCAUUUUCUGAUCAACUUCUUAACCUUACUGAUGCCAUCUGAACUGAGAAACAUGUCCCUUGUGACAUGACUGUCUUUGUUAGGCUUAACAUUUAAGUGCUUAAUGGUUACUACAAGUUAGGGGUGCAAACAUCAGUGAUUCAUCAGUUGCUUAGUGUCAUUCUAAAUGAUUGAAAAUGGACAAUCUAUCCUUGAAAUGUAUUGUAAAACGAAUUGCUUUUCUUCUAAGACAUUGCUGCCAACAAAAACACCAAGAUGCUUACGGAACUACUCAUGGAGGUGAAGCAAAUGUCACGGGACAUUCAGUUUAUAAAGACUGAAAUCGCUAAAUCCUCCAUGAAUAUUCCUAGAGCAGGUCCUGCAUCAUGGAGAGAAACGCCCUUCCCCAUUGUUCUGCCACUUGCCAAUGAGGAGCAGUUUGAUGAGGCUGAAGCUGCACUGAAGGAGGAAACAGUCCGUCGAAUGAUGGUGAACCAUUUUUAGACUAAGUAUUUUCUUACAUUUAUUGUCAGGAAUUGUAGGUGUGGAGGCAUUAAAGGGAUAGUUAGAAUUUUUUGACAAGAGGUUGUAAUACAUCCUUACAAUCAGUGUCGGGCAUCAGCAGUGAUUUUUCCCUCACUGCGUCCUGUGAGUGGAGUUCUGGCCCGGUUUUGGCGUUGCAGAAAGUAGUUCCGGCUAGUUGCUGGGGUCACAGAGAUAAAGUAAAUAAAUAAUAAAAAAAUAAUAUGCAUUCAAAAGAGUAAUACAUUUGCAUCACGAAUUGUUGGCCGUAAAAAAGUCCGACCUCACAGGGCAUUAUCACACUAAUUUACAAGAACAAGGGGGAAAGGAACAAAAUAGAGAAUUACAGACCAAUAAGUUUAUUAAAUACCGGCUACAAAAUACUCUCAAAAAUAAUUGCAAAUAGGAUCAAGGAGGUGGUGGGGUCAAUCAUUAGCAAUUCACAGGCAUACAGUAUACCAGGCAGGGACAUUGCAGACA
rnacentral:lncRNA from 1 species